GGCAGGACAAAAAUUAUCAUAAUAGGCCUAUUGUAGAUAAACUCAGUUAACGUUAACAGUAGCAUUCUCUAAAAGAAACAAUCAAUGUGCUCUAUCAGCCAUGUUGUAGCUACUGAAGAUCACCUCAUGGGACAUUGUCACUCAUAGAAUAGCAUCGUGAAGUGUCACGCUUGUAGUAUUGCAUCAUGUAACAUCGCAUCAUUAGCAGAUGGGAUGUGGCCUUAGAAACAAACUAGAAACUGUAUCUAUGAUUUUGGCUUCAUCUCAUAUUAUAUGGAUGCCAUCACAUGCACUUUGCCUUAAAACCACGUUACAUUUAUUUAAUCUAACUCCUAAAUUGGUUAACUGUUGUUUUUUCCUGUUCUUCUUAUAUACUACAAUUCUGUGGGCUGUUACUAUCUUUAACAGGAUACUGUAAAUACCAGAUUUAUCAUGCC
rnacentral:lncRNA from 1 species